rnacentral:lncRNA from 1 species
UUUCAUUUUAAGGAGAAAAAACAAAAUCCUGUCAUCUAGUCUUGUUUACUGCACAUCCACCUGAGAGAGGGCAGUGCAAAUCACCAUAGCAACCAAAGGUAAAGCCCUCCCUCCAUAUUCCCAUCUGAUUAAUGUAAAAUUAGAACCCACAGCUAAACCUCCGAGGCUUGGUUCUUUUAGGGAGAGGACAUCCAUUCGUCGCAAGAUGGGGCAGCAUUUAUUAUCGUGGAGGCUCUGGCCGGGGGAGGGGGUCAUGAGUCCUCCAGAGAAAGUCAGUUCUCUGGGGCCAUUGCUGAUCUCACCCAGGUGAGUGCACUUGAGUCUUUCCUAUCGAGGAAAUGUGGAACAGCUGCAUGUGCUUAGCUAGAAGGGUCAGAUCUCACCAGGAAGGAAGCAGGGAAGAGAAGAUCGAAGGUGAGAGCAGAGGAAACAAGGAUGAGAAUGAGGUGAGCACCUGAGAUACCUUCUGGAACAUCCUCCCGCGUGAUGGAUGACAGAAGGAAGGUACAGAAGUUUCUGGGACCUCCGCCAGCUUCCGCUCCGAGGUAGCAACAUCCAAUCCAGAGCCCUGGGUUCAUCUGAGAGGGGGACUCCGCCUUCCAGCAAGAACCUGCAUCCCUCAGACACUGCAGGCCCCUUUCAUUUCUAUUUCAUUAUCAAAAUGAGACACCAGGGCACCUGUGUAAGAGGACCAAAACACCGCCGCUUCAUAACUUGCCAAAGAAUGGAAUGGGUUCUUCGACGAGGGAGAGAAGCUCUCGCCUUCUCACGGACAUCUCGCAGCAGAGGCCAGAGCGGAUUGCAGUUCCGUCGAAUCGAACGCUUGCACUAUUCCGUGACAGAGGAAAGCCGGGGAUGAGCCAUUGUGAUUCAUGCCCCUUUGUCAAUUCAGCCCUUUGAUUCUUUGACCUCAACGUCCACAUUAUUGCAGCUGCUUGACAACCCCUGAAACUGCAGCUGUUUUCUCCGCGCGUCCUAAGGUACAGAGGGUUCUGAACUCUUCCCCCAUUUCUGUGCUGCCACACCGACGAAUUUAUGGAGUUUUGGCUCUGGCAAGAUUUCACAAUGUGCCCGGGUGCUUCUUUGAGAUAAAAAUGGUCUGAUACUGUUUGCGGCACAUUGAGGGUUGAAGCUAAAAGACGUUUGGAGAUUGCCUCUCUUCUUUUUAUUUUUUUCCAAGCCUCUCGAAUCGUAUUUCAAGCGUUUACUACAGAUGCUCUUCAGAGGCCGCGGUGGGCGGGGGGUGAGAAUGGAUCUUUUUCCCCUUUCUCUUUAGAUGUCACUUAUUAAGGAACGUGGCAAAGGAAGAGAUUUAGGAGUAUGUGACCUUGGGGUAGAAUAAAAAUGGUUGAGG